CCUAUCACUUUUGACUUCAUUCUCUUCCUCUCCUCUCUUUUAGACCGCCACUCCUCCUCCUUUCUUCUCACCAGAUCACCGCCUAUGGCGAGAAGAGCAGCCUCCAGUGAGAGGUAGCGCCGCUCGCUCCCUUCUCCUCUUCCUCUCUUCCUCCCCUCCUCACUCUCCUUUUUCGGAUGAAACAAGCAGCGAAGGUUGCUGUCCGACCAGCAGCUCCAAGACCUAAGCCACCGACGAGCUCCAUGAACACCAACAACAACUGUCAGGCGAGGCCAUGGCGAGCAGAAGCUCCAGCUGGUGAGAACAACCAGCGAGCUUCAGAGCAGCGCCAUAACCAGUGAGACAGCAGCUCCAGCCGGCGAGAAACACCAACAAGGUAGCGGCUCCGGUGAGCCCUACUCCUUUCUUCUCUCUUAUUUAUGGCCAGUAACUCCAGCAGAUGAGCAUGGUGAAAUAAUGAUAAUGGAGUUUGCUUGGACCUCAUCUCUUCGGUUGGUUUUAAGACGAAUCACAACAGAUCCGUCUGGGCUGAAUUUAUUUCUGGGAGUUUGAAGAGUUGCCUGGGAUGGGUCAUUGGGACAAGAUUUUUUAAAAAUAAUAUUUGUAUUUGCUAUUAUGGUUCUGUAAUAUUUUUUGUUGUAAACUCUAACUUUAUCUAUAUAUAUAUGAAUAACUUGAGGAUCGUCUAAAGGGGA